GCGGGUGUUCCCGAGCGGUCAAAUGAGUUCGUAGAACGCGUUUUCUACGUUCUCAGACUUCAGGGGCAAGGUUCAGGGCCUUGUAGCUUAGUGCUUUCGCAGGUUCGAAUCCUGCCAUCCGCA
rnacentral:tRNA from 1 species